UACCUUACAAUAUUGACUUCGAUGAAAAAAAAAUUGCAUCUGUAGCUAGGUGGGAUACAAUAUGAAUGAUACUAGCACUUAUUGUCCGAAGUGAAGCACACUCUAUCCUAGUUUAAAUUUUUGACAAAAUUGCAAGAAUGGUCCUUGUGGUAUGUUGAAAAAUGUCACUUUAGGCCAAACAGGUUUGGACUAGCACCAGUGGUCCAAACAGUUUUAUUUUGUUACGAGUUUGGUCCAUUAUGGUUUUAAAUGACGACUUUGCCCUUUGCAUAUUGUUUUUUCAAUUUUUUUACAAAAUAAAUAAAAAAAGAAAAGAAAAAUGCUCUCUCUCUCUCGUCACCUCUCUUUCUCUCUCUGUUAGGGAAACACACACACACAAUAACACCCUAACUGCAACCACUAUCCGCCUUCACCGCCCCCUCACCAACCUCCGACGCCGUCUUCCUUUCUUCUGUUAACUCUUGGCCGCCACCACGACUAUGCAACCUUUGAACCUGAUCUGAUUCCCUUCUGAUCCGAAACUAGGCACCAUCGUUGGAGAAGGGGAGAGACAAAGUUUGGGUUUAAAGAGGCGAUGAUGGCAGCUGGAACGAGGGGGUUUCGAUGUAGGCUUUGCAGAGGUGAAGUCGUCAUCGGAGCAGAGGACAUAGAGGACAAUCCAUAUGAAAACCCUAGCCGCCAACGUAAGGAUUUGAGCGACGUUGUUGGGUUUGAGCGUCUCUCUCCUUUCUUGCUUCACCCCUUCACCACAAACAGAUCUUCGGACCUCCCUUCUCGUCUAGUUGUUGGAAUUCCCUUUCAUCGAUCAGAGGCAUCAAAACUACCAAGGGUUUCACCACGAAGGGCGGUGGCGAUAGGAGGCAGAAGAACGAUUAGGGUUUUAUAGGAGAAGACGGUGAUACGAGGCAGAAGUUCGAUCUACGUUUGUGAAGGUUUGAAGUGAUAACGGACCAAGCAAAGUUUGUAGCUCCGAUCUCCGAUCAACAUUUCUGUCUCUUCGUCUCCCACUUGAAGUGAUAGAAAAUAUAUGGGUUUUAAAAUCUGGAGAAAGACUGUGGGUUCAUCAGGAGAGAGAGAGAGGCGGUGGUUGUUCAUAUUUUUCCGGCAGGUGAUGGUGGGAGAGAGAGGUAUUGACCGGUGGUGGCAGUGUUUACAGAAAAGUCGAGGGUGGUGGUGGUGGCAAGGCUAUAUGGAGUGGUCACUACAAACUCACCGGAAAAGUGACGCCACCUCUGCGCCACGUCAUCUUCCCCACCAACCUACUCCACUAUGGAAAUUGUCACCACUAACAACAUUCACUUUUAUAUUAUUUUUUUAUUUUUUUA